rnacentral:rRNA from 1 species
ACACUCCUGCGGGAGGCAGCAGUGGGGAAUUUUGGACAAUGGGCGAAAGCCUGAUCCAGCCAUGCCGCGUGCAGGAUGAAGGCCUUCGGGUUGUAAACUGCUUUUGUACGGAACGAAACGGCCUUUUCUAAUAAAGAGGGCUAAUGACGGUACCGUAAGAAUAAGCACCGGCUAACUACGUGCCAGCAGCCGCGGUAAUACGUAGGGUGCAAGCGUUAAUCGGAAUUACUGGGCGUAAAGCGUGCGCAGGCGGUUAUGUAAGACAGUUGUGAAAUCCCCGGGCUCAACCUGGGAACUGCAUCUGUGACUGCAUAGCUAGAGUACGGUAGAGGGGGAUGGAAUUCCGCGUGUAGCAGUGAAAUGCGUAGAUAUGCGAAGGAACACCGAUGGCGAAGGCAAUCCCCUGGACCUGUACUGACGCUCAUGCACGAAAGCGUGGGGAGCAAACAGGAUUAGAAACCCCAGUAGUCCCA